UUUAUGGAGAGUUUGAUCCUGGCUCAGGAUGAACGCUGGCGGCGUGCCUAAUACAUGCAAGUCGAGCGAACUGACGAGGAGCUUGCUCCUUUGACGUUAGCGGCGGACGGGUGAGUAACACGUGGGUAACCUACCUAUAAGACUGGAAUAACUCCGGGAAACCGGGGCUAAUGCCGGAUAACAUGUUGAACCGCAUGGUUCAACAGUGAAAGACGGUCUUGCUGUCACUUAUAGAUGGACCCGCGCCGUAUUAGCUAGUUGGUAAGGUAACGGCUUACCAAGGCAACGAUACGUAGCCGACCUGAGAGGGUGAUCGGCCACACUGGAACUGAGACACGGUCCAGACUCCUACGGGAGGCAGCAGUAGGGAAUCUUCCGCAAUGGGCGAAAGCCUGACGGAGCAACGCCGCGU
rnacentral:rRNA from 1 species